GCCCAGCUAGCUCAGUUGGUAGAGCAUGGGACUCUUGCUAUCAGGAUCAUGGGUUUAAGCCCCAUGUUGGGCA